GACGGAGGGGGCAAGCGUUGUCCGGAAUUACUGGGCGUAAAGCGCUCGUAGGCGGUCGCGUACGGCGGUGGUGAAAGCUCCCGGCUCAACUGGGAGAGGCCCGCCGCAACGGCGUGACUCGAGGAUGGUAGAGGCAGAUGGAAUUCCUGGUGUAGCGGUGAAAUGCGUAGAGAUCAGGAGGAACACCCGUGGCGAAGGCGGUCUGCUGGGCCAUCCCUGACGCUGAGGAGCGAAAGCCAGGGGAGCGAAC
rnacentral:rRNA from 1 species